CAACUUAUUGAGUUUUAUUCUCCUGUUAUUGAUACAUUAGUGGCAUUGACAGAAUUAAAAAUGUUAAGGAACAAACUUGCAAGCCAAAAUAUAACACUGAAAUCAGCAUUUGAUGCUUUGUUAAAAUGCAAUGAAGAUUUAUAUCCUAAUAUUAAUUUUUUAUUUAAAAUUUUAUGCACCUUGCCAGUUUCUACAGCUUGUCUGGAACGGUAUAUUUUCAAGUUUAAAAAGGAUUAAAUCAUAUCUACGCAACAGAAUAUCUGAAAAGAGGCAAAUGAUUAAGCAUUCAUCGCGAUAUUGACGUUAAUGUAGACGAAGUGUUGAAUGAAAUGUCUCAAAAACCAAGACAAAUGAAUAUUAUUUUGUGAUUUUUUUUAUGAAAAUAAAUGUUUAAUAUUAUAAAUGUUGUUGUAGUUUUGAGUAACAUCAUGGUGACAAGACCAGCAUGGCCUAUUAUAUAGUGUACUUUACCGAAAGGUAAGAUAACAUAAUGUGAUCCUAGAUAUUUGUCUCCCGCCUCGGUCUGCCCCCAAUGUGCUAAAUAAUUUUGGUUUUAUCACCCCCUAGAAAAAAAUCCUAGAUACGCCACUGAUAUAAUACAUACACAUACAUUUAAAGUAGUUAAAGUGAUUGUUAACUAAAAAUUACAUCUAAUUACAACUAGGUAUCUUAUAUUUGUCUAUGCAAAUCUCACUAAUAUAUUAUAAUAUAAUAAUUUUUGUAAGAACAAUGAAUACCCAAAAGAACCUAACAUUGAAAGGACUAAACAAAAUUAACAUCUUCAAUAUGGUACAUAUGCCCCCUGCAAGCUAGUGGGCCACUAAAAAUUAUUUUCCUGGGAUGGUCCGAAAAUCCAAUCUGAACCUGAUCAAUUCUCAUGAUAACUUUAAUGCCCAUUAAAAAUUAUUAUAACCAAAAAAAAAAACUGAAAACACAUAUAAUAAAAGAAAAGUUACCUAAGACUUUUAAAAAUAUAUUUAAUACAUAAUACCUGUAAGUUUAAUUCAUCAAUUUACAUUGUAAAUUAGUAGCCUGAAAAAUAUAUAUUGUGAAUAUCUUGAAUAUUAUUAAUUAUUAUAUUAUAAAUAAACCAAACUAUAGAUUUUCA